AGAGUUUGAUCCUGGCUCAGGACGAACGCUGGCGGCGUGCUUAACACAUGCAAGUCGAGCGGAAAGGCCCUUCGGGGUACUCGAGCGGCGAACGGGUGAGUAACACGUGAGCAACCUGCCCCUAGCUCUGGGAUAGCUCCGGGAAACCGGAAUUAAUACCGGAUAUGACCAUAGCCGACAUCGGCUAUGGUGGAAAGGUUUACCGGCUAGGGAUGGGCUCGCGGCCUAUCAGCUUGUUGGUGGGGUAACUGCCUACCAAGGCGACGACGGGUAGCCGGCCUGAGAGGGCGACCGGCCACACUGGGACUGAGACACGGCCCAGACUCCUACGGGAGGCAGCAGUGGGGAAUAUUGCGCAAUGGGCGAAAGCCUGACGCAGCGACGCCGCGUAGGGGAUGAAGGCCUUCGGGUUGUAAACCCCUUUCGGCAGGGACGAAGCGAAAGUGACGGUACCUGCAGAAGAAGCGCCGGCUAACUACGUGCCAGCAGCCGCGGUAACACGUAGGGCGCAAGCGUUGUCCGGAAUCAUUGGGCGUAAAGAGCUCGUAGGCGGUCUGUUGCGUCCGCUGUGAAAACUCGGGGCUUAACCCCGAGCUUGCAGUGGAUACGGGCAGACUAGAGGUAGGUAGGGGAGAAUGGAAUUCCCGGUGUAGCGGUGAAAUGCGCAGAUAUCGGGAGGAACACCGGUGGCGAAGGCGGUUCUCUGGGCCUUACCUGACGCUGAGGAGCGAAAGCGUGGGGAGCGAACAGGAUUAGAUACCCUAGUAGUCC
rnacentral:rRNA from 1 species